rnacentral:rRNA from 1 species
CAUGGUUGUCGUCAGCUCGUGUCGUGAGAUGUUGGGUUAAGUCCCGCAACGAGCGCAACCCCUAUUGUAGUUGCCAUCAUUCAGUUGGGCACUCUAGCGAGACUGCCGGUAAUAAACCGGAGGAAGGUGGGGAUGACGUCAAAUCAUCAUGCCCCUUAUGACCUGGGCUACACACGUGCUACAAUGGUUGGUACAACGAGUUGCGAGUCGGUGACGGCGAGCUAAUCUCUUAAAGCCAAUCUCAGUUCGGAUUGUAGGCUGCAACUCGCCUACAUGAAGUCGGAAUCGCUAGUAAUCGCGGAUCAGCACGCCGCGGUGAAUACGUUCCCGGGCCUU